UACGUAGGGGCCUAGCGUUGUCCGGAAUUAUUGGGCGUAAAGAGCUCGUAGGCGGUUCGGCAAGUCGGAUGUGAAAUCUCCACGCUUAACGUGGAGGGGCCAUUCGAAACUGCUGUGACUCGAGUCCGGUAGGGGAGUGUGGAAUUCCCGGUGUAGCGGUGAAAUGCGCAGAUAUCGGGAGGAACACCAGUAGCGAAAGCGGACUUCCUGGUCCAGCACCGACGUUCAGGCACGAAAGCGUGGGGAGCAAACAGGG
rnacentral:rRNA from 1 species